rnacentral:lncRNA from 1 species
UGAAUACUUUCUAUAAUCAGCGAUCUUCAUUUUUGAUAAAUUGGAGAUUCAUUCAUAAUAAACAAAUAUCAAUAUCAUUUAUCAUGUAAAAUUUACAAUCUUCCUUUAGUUACAGAGAUUCUUGAUUACCCAGGUUCUGGAUAAUCCGCAAUCUGGAACUGAUGGUUAAGGCUGUUUCACAAUUAGCGGUUGCAGAGCGGAAAAUGGACUCUUGCGGUCCGCAUCGCAAGAAUCUAAUUCCUGCUUCCGUAAUCAUUUCACAAAAAGCGGAACCUUUACGUUUAUUUUCCGCUAACCAGUUUGCGGGCGGUUUUGGCAAUUUCAACUUGGUUGAAAUUUUUGCGGAUCCGCGAAUGUUUCAACCAAUCAACAAACAGCUUUAUCGUGAAGCAUUCUGGUAUUGACAACAUGGCGGCGUGACAAACGGGCGAAGUUGACUGGUUAAUUGAGUUGCCUUGUAAAUAAUCACAAACAAAGAAGACUUAACAGAACGCCGGAGGAGAAUGCAGGAACGCUUAUUGUGAAAUGGCAACGGAAAGCUGUUUUUCAGCGCGUACGCUAGCGGAAGU